rnacentral:lncRNA from 1 species
CAGUGGUGGUUUAAUUGGCCAUCUAUGCACCCAAUAGACCGGACAAAUUUUUUGCAUUUGUAUGUAUUAGAAUUAGAAAAAUGAUAAAUAUAUAAGGGUAUGAAAACAGGAAGCUUUGAUAAAUCGAUAAAGCUAGAGCCGAGAAAGAAUUUGAAGCCACGUUCACCAUCUUGGAUUUUGAGCUUUUGAAAUUCUAACAAAAAAUUCGAGUUUCCCGUCGUAAAAUACCCCCAAAUACCGAGUUUCACAAAAAUUGUUCGAACAGUAACCGAGAUAGAAUUUUAGGCUGCGGCCGCCAUCUUGGAUAUUGGAAUUUUAAAAAUCGGACCAAAAAUUCAAGUUUCCCGUUGAAAAACACCCCCUAACACUUAAUCUCACGAAAAUCGACGGAAGAGGAGCCGAGAUAGCAUUUCAGGCCAAGGCCGCCAUCUUGGAUUUUAAAGUUUUGAAAAUCUGACCAAAAAUUCGAGUUUCUCACCAAAAUAUAUCUACUGAUGCAAAGUUUCACAAAAAUCGAUCGAAUAGGAGUCGACACAGCAUUUUACGCCACGGCCGCCUUCUUGGAUUUUAAAAUUUUGAAAAUCUAACCAAAAAUUCGAGUUUCAAAAGUUUGGGAGAGGACUUUCCCGCCACCGGCCGCGUAUAUAGUCCACGCCACGAGAAGUGGCGGGUGAGGGGCGGAGCCAGUCGGCCGGUCCAGUCUAUAGUUGAAGGGUUGAAGCGCAGGUAUUGGCCCGUAGUUGAGACGGGGUAACGACUGGGCCAAUACCUGCGCUUCAACCCUUGAUAGACUAGACUGGCUCCACCCCUCACCCGAUCCAGCAGCCGAUGAGCGCGGCGCGGCGCCCGGCGCGAUACGGGUGCCCGUGGUCGGGGUGGAUGUUGGCGAGGGGCGGGGACACUGUCUAGCAGUCGGCGGGGCGGGGCGGGAGGCUGUCGCUACGAGCGAUCUGUGGGCCAGCGCGGUGCGACGCGUGAGAGGGGAAUCCUCGGACCCGAAUCUCUUGCGCACGAUCAGUUUUAAUGUGGAGAAAAUGAUUACGACUUCCACGUCAGGAUUUCGAAUCGCUUUCUGAAACGUGCGCAAACAAAACUACGCCAUCGUACAUACCGCGCAGAUCGCUGUGUAAUCUCGCUCAAGUUUGCAAGCUGCUUAUUGGACGUAUGUUAUUUCCAUGGGUUAUUCGCCUUAAUGGUCGUAUGUUUCUCUCAUUUCCUCUCUUUUUUCUUUCACCUUCAUUAUUAAUCGAUCUUUGUGAAAUUCGGUAAUAGAGGGUAUUUUUUGACGGGAAACUCGAAUUUUGGGUCAGAUUUACAGAAUUUAAAAAUCCAAGAUAGCGGCCUCGACCUGAAAUGCUAUCUCGGCUCCUCUUCAACCGCUUC